AGUGAACGCUGGCGGUAGGCCUAACACAUGCAAGUCGAACGGCAGCACAGUAAGAGCUUGCUCUUACGGGUGGCGAGUGGCGGACGGGUGAGGAAUACAUCGGAAUCUACUUUUUCGUGGGGGAUAACGUAGGGAAACUUACGCUAAUACCGCAUACGACCUACGGGUGAAAGCAGGGGAUCUUCGGACCUUGCGCGAUUGAAUGAGCCGAUGUCGGAUUAGCUAGUUGGCGGGGUAAAGGCCCACCAAGGCGACGAUCCGUAGCUGGUCUGAGAGGAUGAUCAGCCACACGGGAACUGAGACACGGGCCAGACUCCUACGGGAGGCAGCAGUGGGGAAUAUUGGACAAUGGGCGCAAGCCUGAUCCAGCCAUACCGCGUGGGUGAAGAAGGCCUUCGGGUUGUAAAGCCCUUUUGUUGGGAAAGAAAAGCAGCAGGUUAAUACCCCGCUGUUCUGACGGUACCCAAAGAAUAAGCACCGGCUAACUUCGU
rnacentral:rRNA from 1 species